CCCUGGCUCAGGAUGAACGCUAGCGGCAGGCUUAACACAUGCAAGUCGAGGGGUAUAGUUCUUCGGAAUUAGAGACCGGCGCACGGGUGCGUAACGCGUAUGCAAUCUACCUUUUGCAGAGGGAUAGCCCAGAGAAAUUUGGAUUAAUACCUCAUAGUAUAGCAGUUUCGCAUGAAACCACUAUUAAAGUCACAACGGCAAAAGAUGAGCAUGCGUCCCAUUAGCUAGUUGGUAAGGUAACGGCUUACCAAGGCUACGAUGGUAGGGGUCCUGAGAGGGAGAUCCCCCACACUGGUACUGAGACACGGACCAGACUCCUACGGGAGGCAGCAGUGAGGAAUAUUGGACAAUGGGCGCAAGCCUGAUCCAGCCAUGCCGCGUGCAGGAUGACGGUCCUAUGGAUUGUAAACUGCUUUUGUACAGGAAGAAACACUCCCUCGUGAGGGAGUUUGACGGUACUGUAAGAAUAAGGAUCGGCUAA
rnacentral:rRNA from 1 species